CUCACAAACAAGAGUUAGGAUCUGGAUGUCAUCAAUUGAGCUAGCCCAGUUUGAUUGAUUUGGAUUAGAUCUAAUUAGGUUCAAGAAAAUCGUGCUAGCACAUGAUUGAGCCUAACUUUCUCUUUGUGUAAUCUUUUCUAUCUUGACUGAGCCAAAUGUGAUUUGACUCACCCAGAGAACCUUGAAAAGAUUUCUCUUAGACUAACUGGAGCCAGUCCAGCUCAAAAAAAUCUUAUCUUA
rnacentral:lncRNA from 1 species